rnacentral:rRNA from 1 species
UACGUAGGGUCCGAGCGUUGUCCGGAAUUACUGGGCGUAAAGAGCUCGUAGGUGGUUUGUCGCGUUGUUCGUGAAAACUCACAGCUUAACUGUGGGCGUGCGGGCGAUACGGGCAGACUGGAGUACUGCAGGGGAGACUGGAAUUCCUGGUGUAGCGGUGGAAUGCGCAGAUAUCAGGAGGAACACCGGUGGCGAAGGCGGGUCUCUGGGCAGUAACUGACGCU